AAACAAGCAUGUCAAUACCGAACUAAAAAGAAAGAAAAGAAAGAACAUAUAAACACAAUAAUAUAAACACAAUCAUAUAAGAGAAAAGAAAGAACAUAAUUCCAAUAAACAAUGCCAAAUAAUGACAACACAUUUCUCCUACAAGAUUGGAACCCAAAUCUAGAUUUGAAAAUAUGAGCAAAUCAAGGCAACGAAACUGAUAAAUCAAACUUAUCUUCAUAAUACAGUCUCAAGUGAACAGAAAGAACACGAUGCUCGAAAGGACAAAUAAAUCACUCAGAACCAAGCUCUCAUCAACAGUGUAUCAGUCCACUUUUAUGAAAGAAAUAAAGAACAUACACACGAGUCCAAAUUCAACGGCUGAAUGUUCGUUCUUUUAUAAUCAAGAACUAAGCAGAUUAUAUAUGAUACAAACAAAGCAAUAAAGUUCUGCUAAUAUAAGCUUCAAAAAGAGUAAAUUAAACUUCAUUGUAGACUAAUUAGUUUCAAUGACCAACACUUCAAAAAGUUCAGCACAAUCUUGACAGGAAUCAUAAAAUGGCAGAAUUCACAGUAGCAAUUUUAAAGAAAAACAAAUCCCUCAGGUACUUCAUUUCUCAUCAAUAAUGAUCAGGCUACUUUUAACGUCAAAAUGUACUGAGAAAUUCAUCAUAGGGAUGAAGGGAAAUAAAUGGUUAAACGAAUACUUCAAAAACACAUAACUACAUUUAAGCGUUUCUGAAUGAAAAGAAGAGCUAAAACGAACCCCUCAGAGUUUAAAUUUAUCCUCAAUGCAUAAUAUUCAGUCCACUACUUUUAACAUUGAUUGAAAACAUUCUUCAUAGGGGCGGACGGUGACUAGUAAAAUUAGAUUUCGGAUCCAUAAUAUGCCCAAAGAAAUCAACUUCUAAAGCACGAUAAACAAAUUGAUUCAGAGUAUAACAAUACUCAGUAACCAAAUCUAUUCUAGAAAUGACUAAACGAGAGCACAAACA